rnacentral:SRP_RNA from 1 species
GCUGGGCAUGAUGGCUCAUGCCUGUAGUCCUAACUACUGAGGAAGGAAGCUGAGGUGGGAGGAUCAUUUGAGCCCAGGAGGUUGAGGCUGCAGUGAGCCAUGAUUGCACCACUGCACUCCAGCUAGGGCAACAGAGUGAGAUCCCAUCUCAA